rnacentral:rRNA from 1 species
AUUGAACGCUGGCGGCAUGCUUUACACAUGCAAGUCGAACGGCAGCACGGGCUUCGGCCUGGUGGCGAGUGGCGAACGGGUGAGUAAUAUAUCGGAACGUACCCAGAAGUGGGGGAUAACGUAGCGAAAGUUACGCUAAUACCGCAUACGAUCUAUGGAUGAAAGCAGGGGACCGCAAGGCCUUGUGCUCCUGGAGCGGCCGAUAUCUGAUUAGCUAGUUGGUGAGGUAAAGGCUCACCAAGGCGACGAUCAGCAGCUGGUCUGAGAGGACGACCAGCCACACUGGAACUGAGACACGGUCCAGACUCCUACGGGAGGCAGCAGUGGGGAAUUUUGGACAAUGGGCGCAAGCCUGAUCCAGCAAUGCCGCGUGAGUGAAGAAGGCCUUCGGGUUGUAAAGCUCUUUUGUCAGGGAAGAAACGGUAGAGGCUAAUAUCCUUUGCUAAUGACGGUACCUGAAGAAUAAGCACCGGCUAACUACGUG